rnacentral:lncRNA from 1 species
UGGGUUGGUGUCUUGGGUUUCUUAGUUGGAUGAGAUCCUAAUUUGAAUAUGAUUCAAAUUCAUGGUGUCCUAAAUUAGUUAGGACUGGAUCAGAUUGGGCAUCCAAACCUUUAAAAAGGGAAGUUAUGGUUGGUGGUUAGCGUGAGACAUUUUUGUGCGACAAAACAUGAAAACUGUGAGGAAUAACCACUGUGACAAAGGAGGGCACUGAUUUCUUAUUGGUGUGGGUUCUUCUGGAUGCUUCUUCCUAGGUGUGAAGACUCCCUUCAGAGAUUGGCUCUUAACCCUCCCUG